CCUACGGGGGGCAGCAGUAGGGAAUCUUCCACAAUGGGCGAAAGCCUGAAGGAGCAACGCCGCGUGGGUGAAGAAGGUCUUCGGAUCGUAAAACCCUGUUGUUAGAGAAGAAAGUGCGUGAGAGUAACUGUUCACGUUUCUACGGUAUCUACACAGGAAGCCAAGGCUAACUACGUGCCAGCAGCCGAGGUAAUACGUGGGUGGCAAGCGUUAUCCGGAUUUAUUGGGCGUAAAGGGAACGAAGGCGGUCUUUUAAGUCUGAUGUGAAAGCCUUCGGCUUAACCGGCGUAGUGCAGUGGAAACUGGGAGACUUGAGUGCAGAAGAGGAGAGUGGAACUCCAUGUGUAGCGGUGAAAUGCGUAGAUAUAUGGAAGAACACCAGUGGCGAAGGCGGCUCUCUGGUCUGUAACUGACGCUGAGGUUCGAAAGCGUGGGUAGCAAACAGGAUUAGAUACCCGGGUAGUC
rnacentral:rRNA from 1 species